AUUGAACGCUGGCGGAAUGCUUUACACAUGCAAGUCGAGCGGCAGCGCGGGGCAACCUGGCGGCGAGCGGCGAACGGGUGAGUAAUGCAUCGGAACGUACCCCGUCGUGGGGAUAACUACCCGAAAGGGUAGCUAAUACCGCAUACGACCUGAGGGUGAAAGCGGGGACCGAAAGGCCUCGCGCGAUGGGAGCGGCCGAUGCCGGAUUAGCUAGUUGGUAGGGUAAAGGCCUACCAAGGCGACGAUCCGUAGCUGGUCUGAGAGGACGACCAGCCACACUGGAACUGAGACACGGUCCAGACUCCUACGGGAGGCAGCAGUGGGGAAUUUUGGACAAUGGGCGAAAGCCUGAUCCAGCCAUUCCGCGUGAGUGAAGAAGGCCUGGUUGUAAG
rnacentral:rRNA from 1 species